CAUAAUAUAGGCACAUGUGGCAAGACUAAGAUUCUACCACCACAGCAGCAGCUCUGUGAGCAGUGUCUUGUUCCAGGUGAUAAUCAAUUAUAACCGUAACAGGAAGUGGAUAAUACGCACUAAGUGUCUAAACUUGGUAAAGACGACAAACACCGUCCCUGAGUAUACACCAGCCUGGACGACAGAUAUAGCAACACCUGAAGGAAAGGAAGGAAAGGAAGGAGUGAGGAAAAGCCAACUUUAGAGACAGACCGGGACUAAUUAGGCCCGUCAGCCCCCACGGCCUCCAUCUCCCACGGCUGCUGGUUUCACAGAGUUUGCGGCUGACAAACCAAAUGAGAUGUACCGUAUAUACAAGGUCAGUCCGGUGUUGUGUGGUCGACGCGUUGUGGUGUAAGAACCAGCUGAAACAGUGUUGGGACCUCACACACAGUGUUCCAGCCGCGGCGUUAACGUCACCAAUGAACUCACCUUUCAUUAGGACGUGGUAAAAGUCCAAGACCAAGAAAACGAAGCCAACCUGGACGGACUUCACACACAGAGGGUCCAGUUACUACUGAGACCCUGGAGCAGUGACCAAUGUAUGGACAACAACUUUAAUGUUACUUGAUGUAAUGACGCCAAGACAAGUAUAAUUGCCAAAUCUACCACAUGAACCCAGACAAGCCAGAG